rnacentral:lncRNA from 1 species
CCCAGAGAAACAUUUUGUUUUGCUUUAUCAUUUCCAUCAUGUAGAAACACAACAGCUGCUGUUGCAGACAAAUGGCUUAUGAAAUUGAUGCAAACGGGGAUCCACAUCUGGUCAGACCAUCUGAGAUCACUUGGAGCUAUCUCUAUAAGGCCUCACAGCUGAUGUCAGGGAAAAAACCCCCAGAGCUCACUAUCUGGAUCAUCUCAAGGCAAAGAUCUGAUCGAGGCGACGAAAACAUUUUUGCUGUGCUGAGGGUACCCAAGAGUUCCCUCCAUUAUUGUUAAAUGGAAGAGGUUUGGGAAUACUGUGGGAAGCAGUGCUGUCUGGUCUGUUGAAACCAAGACUAAAUGCUUUAACCCUGAUUCUCUGCAUUGUCUUUAGAGGGAGACAGGCAAUGCCUAACAUCAUCCCCACGGGGAUUCUGCUGGGGUGUUUUUCACUGGCUCAAAUGAACGUGUGUUCCAGAGGACUCAGGCUGGGGUGACAGCUUACCUUCCAACGAGACAAUGACCCUGAAUCCACAGUAAAUACAGCGCACAAGUGGCUUGGGAACCACUCUGUGAAUGUGCUCGAGUGACUCAGCCAGAUCCUUGACUUGAACCCAAUUGGCAAUCUCCAGUGGGCCCUGAAAAUGGCCAUCCAGCGGGGGUCUCCAGGAAUAUCAAGUGAAGCUUGUGAUGGAAUACACAAGAAGACUGGAGGCUGCCAAAAUUAGUCAAGAGUCUGACUACUUAUGUCGGUGCAACAUCUUGGUUUCUAUGUAAAAAGUCACAUUCUAUUUUCAUAUAUGAUUACCACUCACAAAAUGCAUUCAUAAUAUGGUGUUUGUACUUCCUCAACCUUAUCUUGAAUCUUGCACCUGGACACCAGCAUCAUAACUCUUUAUGACAUGUCUCAUAUCUAAUUUCUGUUGUUUCUUGGCGGUGCCAGUCUUUACCUUUCCAUGUUUUCUAAUGAAAGGUCUCAGUUCCUGGACAGAACCAACGCUAAACUGCUGUUGGCCUAAAUCCUAACAUCACAUUUUUUUUCCCUGUAUGACGCUUAUCGGUUCA